UCUCGUGACUGCGUGCCUUUUGAAGAAUGAGCCUGCGAGUUUGCGGUGUGUUGCGAGGUUAACCCGUGUGGGGAAGCCGUAGCGAAAGCGAGUCCGAAUAGGGCGGUAUAGUAGCGCGCUCAAGACCCGAAGCGGAGUGAUCUAGCCAUGGGCAGGUUGAAGCGGAGGUAAGACUUCGUGGAGGACCGAACCCACCAGGGUUGAAAACCUGGGGGAUGACCUGUGGUUAGGGG
rnacentral:rRNA from 1 species